rnacentral:lncRNA from 1 species
GGGCUCGUAUACGCUUGCGUGGUUGGGGUUCGUUAGAGUCUGAUUGAUGAGCAACAACCUUUCCUUUUUCCUCAGCAGUGUAACGGUGGCGUGACAUAGUUUCUUUGUUGUUAAAUUGCUUUGAGGAGAUACCAGUGAGAUAAUAGAACCAAUGAGCUGGGGCGUGGAAAGACUGUAGAUCUGAGAUAGCAGCUGGUGUAAGAUGGAGGACUUGGGAACCAGCCUUAGUCACUAGAGGAGUCUAUCGUCGACCCUAGUGCUAUAACGUUGUGUUGCUACCGGAGGAGAUACACCGUAGGGUCGA